UGUCAGCCAAAGCCUCAAGUGGUCACCAAAGAUUUCUAAGAGAUCUGUCUCUGCACUGCUUCCUUCUCUCUGUUUCUCUGGCACACGCAUUCCAGCCACCCCGUCAGCUCAUGGGUCUCUGGGAUCCACUUUCCUGUGCUACAGUUUGGAAAACUCCCUAAUGCAGACAGCCGGACAAAACAUCUGUCCCUUCAAGUGCUUCCAGAUCACCUGCAAAGCCAGAUCGGCCAAAUUGGUGCUUGGGCAACCUGUGUAGAAACAAUUCCAUCUCAAAUUGCAAAACUGAACCACAAACACUGGGAGGUUCAGUCCCCAACUGAUACAGAGUACUCUCUCCGUUGCUUAACUUUGAACAGCACAGUGUUGACACCCAGUCAAUGUUAAUAUGAGAUUAUUUAUGGGAUCCCUAUGGAUGUCACC